rfam:Clostridium sp. C105KSO13 isolate C105KSO131 genome assembly, contig: {contig162}
AAGAACUAUAUAAUUGAUGUCUCAAAUGAAGGAGUAACGCCCGGAAGGGGACACGCUAAUACUUCGGAUAGCGCCGGACAAUACAGAAUGUCCGGGGUUAUAAGCCCGGGGAAGACGUGCGAAGUACACCCUAACACGGAAAGGUGAGGAAAGGUCGGCAGUGAUGCAGGCUGUGUAUGACAGUGCGGGCGGGGUUAUC